CUACGACUUUUUGCAAAAAAAAAAUGAAAAUACCGACGGCGUUACACUGUCUACAAAACAUAACAAAUUCACCCUUGCCUGUCCUAUCUACCGGUGAUAUAGAAAUAAUAUUCCAGAACAACGAAACAAAUGGAGAAACAUACGACAGAUAUAACUACCAAGAUCCUGUCAACUGGACAAAGAUCAACACACCACCAACGUGUUCUAGACAUUAUGGAUUCAAAACACCACAAUUAGACCAUCUUUAUCCCUUCAAAACAUUUAGAACCCCAAAUCUUCCUGCGUUUUUUAAUUUAAGUCUUAGUCAGCCAGUAACUCCAAGAACACCGAUGUCAUGGAGAGGCUUAGAUAUAACCGCAAUAAACCCGCGUCUUUCGCAAAAUACGAUGUUUCCAAAUGACAACUUUGUGAUACCAACACCCCUGAUAUAUAAUUCACUAGCAUCUUUUAAACCUAAU